UACGUAGGGUGCAAGCGUUAAUCGGAAUUACUGGGCGUAAAGCGUGCGCAGGCGGUUUUUUAAGUCAGAUGUGAAAGCCCCGGGCUCAACCUGGGAAUUGCAUUUGAAACUGGGGAACUAGAGUGUGUGAGAGGGGGGUAGAAUUCCACGUGUAGCAGUGAAAUGCGUAGAGAUGUGGAGGAACACCGAUGGCGAAGGCAGCCCCCUGGGUCAAGAUUGACGCUCAUGCACGAAAGCGUGGGGAGCAAACAGG
rnacentral:rRNA from 1 species